rnacentral:lncRNA from 1 species
UUUGCCCCCCAAACAAAAAAAAAUUGCACGUUUUUACCUGAACUCGUUAAUUCGUUGCACGGUGCCCCCUAAACUCAAUUUUCCGGCAAUUUUGACCGGAAUAUUAAAACAUGUGCUUUGCACGUGAGAUUUUGAGGGGUAAAUUCGUCCCUUCACUUGCAUCUUUAAUAUUAAAUACAAAUAAAUAUUAAAAAAAAAAGAAAAAAAGAAAUAGAAUAAAUAAAUAAAGGAAAAUGAAUCAUCUGAAACCACCGUCAUUCUCACCCUUCUUCCUCCACUCAUCAAUCUUCCCAUUCUAGCCUGAUUCGCCAAGAAUCAUCUGAAACCCCCAUCAAACUCCACACCACCAUUUUCUAUGUCAUCCUCCCAUUCGAAAUUAAUAAUUAUUGUUCGAGUUUUCCGUGUUCAAUUAUCCAUCAAACUCACCAUGGUCCAGUUCUUCGCCGCGACGCCAUCAUCUUCGAAGGGUGUUACGAAGAAUCAGAUCAAACUUACCGGAUUAGAUCUGGAGAGACCCAAAAUUUCGUAUCAAAUAUUGAAAUCAAACAAAACCAACAAAAAGGUAGAUUAUUGAUGUGGGUUUUCUCAUUACUUGAAGAAAAUUCACAGAAAACCCAUAAACAAAUGUCGAUUUGUCCAAGUUAGAACAUCUCUUCAUGAUUUGGUUCAACUCCGCUGCUUGGGAAUGCUUGUUUGAUUUUUUUUUAUCGCCAUUAUUUUUUGGUUUGGUUGCGAAUUUUUUAAAACCGGACAGAAAUUGAAGGACUGUGAAAAUGGGGUGGUGGUGGAGACGAGGAGGGAGAGAGAGAGAGGGGAAAGAAGGAGCCGAAUUCCAUAUUCAAUUUUUUGAUUUGGUUUUUGAUUUGGGAUUUAGUAUGUACACACGUUUUCUCCAUUAAUGAACAUUUGAAGAAAAUUUGUUGAGAAAAAUAAAAGGACAGAAGAAGAAGAGGAGAUGAUGGUG